GAUGAACGCUGGCGGCGUGCCUAAUACAUGCAAGUCGAGCGAACGGACGAGAAGCUUGCUUCUCUGAUGUUAGCGGCGGACGGGUGAGUAACACGUGGAUAACCUACCUAUAAGACUGGGAUAACUUCGGGAAACCGUAGCUAAUACCGUAUAAUAUUUUGAACCGCAUGGUUCAAAAGUGAAAGACGGUCUUGCUGUCUCUUAUCGAUGGAUCCGCGCUGCAUUAGCUAGUUGGUAAGGUAACGGCUUACCAAGGCAACGAUGCAUAGCCGACCUGAGAGGGUGAUCGGCCACACUGGAACUGAGACACGGUCCAGACUCCUAAGGGAGGCAGCAGUAGGGAAUCUUCCGCAAUGGGCGAAAGCCUGACGGAGCAACGCCGCGUGAGUGAUGAAGGUCUUCGGAUCGUAAAACUCUGUUAUUAGGGAAGAACAGAUGUGUAAGUAACUGUGCACAUCUUGACGGUACCUAAUCAGAAAGCCACGGCUAACUACGUG
rnacentral:rRNA from 1 species